rnacentral:lncRNA from 1 species
UGUGUGUUCUGUAGUGUUGUAUUUUUUUUUAUUGUAGAUGUAAUAAGUUGUAUAUGUAUGAUGCGAGUAAAAAAAAUUCUAAACGGAAAUUCCCUAAUCAAAUGGCAAGAUCGUAAGCUCAAACACGUCAAACGAAUGGAUCACAACUGUCAUAUUCCUGACUUGGUACAGACAUUUUGUUAUGUGGAAAAUGGUGGAUUAAACCUGGUUUUAUAGCUAGCUAAACA